GGCCUGUAGGUAAGUAAUUACAGGUCUAGCCUGCCCGGUGAGGUAUUUUAACGGCCGCAGUAGCCUGACUGUGCUAAGGUAGCGCAAUCACUUGCCUUUUAAUUGGAGGCUGGUAUGAAUGGCUGGUCGAGGGUUUAGCUGUCUCUUUUAAGGCUUUAUAGAAAUUGCUUAUAGGUGCAGAAGCCUAGAUUUUAAUGAAAGACGAGAAGACCCUAAUGUGCUUUAAUUUAGAAUUUUUAUAUUAAAAUUUAGAAUUUUUGUUGGGGAAACAUGGGAAUAUAAAAAGCUUCCCUAAUUAGAUAUUUAGUCCGCUAAUUAAAGCGAUUAUAGAAAAAGUAACCAUAGGGAUAACAGACUAAUUUCCUUUGAGAGUUCACAUUAACAAGGAUGUUUGGCACCUCGAUGUUGGCUUAAGAAUGUUACUAUGAAGCAGAAAUCUAGUGNAUGGGCUUGNUCAGCCUUUAAAUUCUUA
rnacentral:rRNA from 1 species